GACGAACGCUGGCGGCGUGCUUAACACAUGCAAGUCGAACGGUAAGGCCCUUCGGGGUACACGAGUGGCGAACGGGUGAGUAACACGUGGGUGAUCUGCCCUGCACUUCGGGAUAAGCCUGGGAAACUGGGUCUAAUACCGGAUAGGACUCCGGACUGCAUGGUCUGGGGUGGAAAGCUUUUGCGGUGUGGGAUGGGCCCGCGGCCUAUCGGCUUGUUGGUGGGGUGAUGGCCUACCAAGGCGACGACGGGUAGCCGGCCUGAGAGGGUGACCGGCCACACUGGGACUGAGAUACGGCCCAGACUCCUACGGGGGGCAGCAGUGGGGAAUAUUGCACAAUGGGCGCAAGCCUGAUGCAGCGACGCCGCGUGAGGGAUGACGGCCUUCGGGUUGUAAACCUCUUUCAGCAUCGACGAAGCGAAAGUGACGGUAGGUGCAGAAGAAGGACCGGCCAACUACGUGCCAGCCGCCGCAGUAA
rnacentral:rRNA from 1 species